AUUGAACGCUGGCGGAAUGCUUUACACAUGCAAGUCGAACGGCAGCACGGGGCAACCUGGUGGCGAGUGGCGAACGGGUGAGUAAUACAUCGGAACGUGCCCAAUCGUGGGGGAUAACGUAGCGAAAGUUACGCUAAUACCGCAUACGAUCUACGGAUGAAAGCGGGGGAUCGCAAGACCUCGCGCGAUUGGAGCGGCCGAUAUCAGAUUAGCUAGUUGGUGGGGUAAAAGCUCACCAAGGCGACGAUCUGUAGCUGGUCUGAGAGGACGACCAGCCACACUGGAACUGAGACACGGUCCAGACUCCUACGGGAGGCAGCAGUGGGGAAUUUUGGACAAUGGGCGCAAGCCUGAUCCAGCAAUGCCGCGUGCAGGAUGAAGGCCUUCGGUUGUAAACUGCUUUGUACGGUAACGAAACGGUAGAGCUCUAAUAAAGACUUGCUAAUGACGGUACCGUAACGGAAUAAAGACACCGGCGUAACUACCGUAGGCCAGCAGCC
rnacentral:rRNA from 1 species